UACGUAGGGGGCUAGCGUUGUCCGGAUUUAUUGGGCGUAAAGAGCGUGUCGGCGGCCAUGUCGGUCCGGUGUGAAAACUCGAGGCUUAACCUCGAGAUGUCAUCGGAAACCAUUUGGCUAGAGUCCGGAAGAGGAGAGUGGAAUUCCUGGUGUAGCGGUGAAAUGCGCAGAUAUCAGGAAGAACACCAAUGGCGAAAGCAGCUCUCUGGGACGGUACUGACGCUGAGACGCGAAAGCGUGGGGAGCGAACAGG
rnacentral:rRNA from 1 species